CUUUUAAAAUGAGUUUAUGCUUCUCUAUCCUCGGCUGUUGUCAUUAAGGCUGGGACGAUUCGAUAUGUAUUGAUAAACCAUAUUACGAUUUAUUGUGAUUUUCUGCGGUUUGUUUUGGUUGACGGAUACGGAACGGAUAUGACGUCACAUUACUACAACAAUAAAAGCGGAACUCACCCCAUGUGUCCGAGUGCUGAGUGCUGUAGAUUCUGUAUCUGCUGUUGCUGCCAGCUCGCUACCGAUCCAAGACCAGAACCUCCGAACCCAGACAGAGAGGACAGGUCGCUGAGGAACUCUGAGGAAACAACCAGAAAACCAUCAUUAAUCCGAUCGGUUCUUCUGAGCUCGUUGACUUUCUAGAGGUAUACGAGAGAAUCCAUGAUACCACGGAUUUGCUAAAUCUACACCAACAACUACAGCGAGAGAAGAUGCUGGAGGCUUGUCCUUGCUUAUUAAAACCCACCCGUCCAGAGACGAUCAGCCCUGUACCCUCAAAGAGUGCUCACAUGACUGAACACUACUUCAAUAAUUACACAGUUAAUGGUGACAUCCAGUCUUUAAGCUUCCUUUCCAAAUGCAUCUGUAUGUUGUUAAAGAACUAUAAUAAACAAUAUGAUUAAUAUUA